rnacentral:rRNA from 1 species
UACGGAGGGGGCUAGCGUUGUUCGGAAUUACUGGGCGUAAAGCGCACGUAGGCGGCUUUGCAAGUCAGAGGUGAAAGCCCGGGGCUCAACCCAGGGCCUGCAUCGGAAACUGUCGGGCUUGAGUAUGGGAGAGGUGAGUGGAAUUUCCGGUGUAGCGGUGAAAUGCGUAGAUAUCGGAAGGAACACCUGUGGCGAAAGCGGCUCACUGGACCAUUACUGACGCUGAGGCACGAAAGCUAGGGGAGCAAACAGG